rnacentral:hammerhead_ribozyme from 1 species
AUCGAAAUGACGAGUCCCAAAUGGAACGAAACCCGUGUCUUUUGAU